rnacentral:rRNA from 1 species
UACAGAGGGUGCGAGCGUUAAUCGGAAUUACUGGGCGUAAAGCGCACGUAGGUGGCGACGUAAGUCGGGUGUGAAAGCCCCGGGCUCAACCUGGGAAUUGCAUUCGAGACUGCAUUGCUGGAGUACGGAAGAGGAGGGCGGAAUUCCCGGUGUAGCGGUGAAAUGCGUAGAUAUCGGGAGGAACAUCGGUGGCGAAGGCGGCCCUCUGGUCCAGUACUGACACUCAAGUGCGAAAGCGUGGGGAGCAAACAGG